AGGAUGAACGCUGGCGGCGUGCUUAACACAUGCAAGUCGAACGAUCCUUCGGGAUAGUGGCGGACGGGUGAGUAACGCGUGGGAAUCUGCCCUUAGGAGGGGGAUAACGGCUGGAAACGGCCGCUAAUACCCCAUAUGCCGAGAGGUGAAACGAAUUUCGCCUGAGGAUGAGCCCGCGUCUGAUUAGCUAGUUGGUGGGGUAAAGGCCUACCAAGGCGACGAUCAGUAGCUGGUCUGAGAGGAUGAUCAGCCACACUGGGACUGAGACACGGCCCAGACUCCUACGGGAGGCAGCAGUGGGGAAUUUUCCGCAAUGGGCGAAAGCCUGACGGAGCAACGCCGCGUGAGGGAUGAAGGCCUCUGGGCUGUAAACCUCUUUUCUCAAGGAAGAAGAACUGACGGUACUUGAGGAAUAAGCCACGGCUAAUUCCGUGCCAGCAGCCGCGGUAAUACGGGAGUGGCAAGCGUUAUCCGGAAUUAUUGGGCGUAAAGCGUCCGCAGGCGGCCUUGUAAGUCUGUUGUUAAAGCGUGGAGCUCAACUCCAUUUAAGCAAUGGAAACUACAAGGCUGGAGUGUGGUAGGGGCAGAGGGAAUUCCCGGUGUAGCGGUGAAAUGCGUAGAUAUCGGGAAGAACACCAGUGGCGAAGGCGCUCUGCUGGGCCAUAACUGACGCUCAUGGACGAAAGCCAGGGGAGCGAAAGGGAUUAGAUACCCCUGUAGUCCUGGCCGUAAACGAUGAACACUAGGUGUCGGGGGAAUCGACCCCCUCGGUGUCGUAGCCAACGCGUUAAGUGUUCCGCCUGGGGAGUACGCACGCAAGUGUGAAACUCAAAGGAAUUGACGGGGGCCCGCACAAGCGGUGGAGUAUGUGGUUUAAUUCGAUGCAACGCGAAGAACCUUACCAGGGUUUGACAUCCUGCGAAUCCCUUGGAAACGAGGGAGUGCCUUCGGGAGCGCAGUGACAGGUGGUGCAUGGCUGUCGUCAGCUCGUGUCGUGAGAUGUUGGGUUAAGUCCCGCAACGAGCGCAACCCACGUCUUUGGUUGCCAGCAUUCAGUUGGGCACUCUAGAGAGACCGCCGGUGAUAAACCGGAGGAAGGUGUGGAUGACGUCAAGUCAUCAUGCCCCUUACAUCCUGGGCUACACACGUACUACAAUGCUACGGACAAAGGGCAGCAAGCUCGCGAGAGUUAGCAAAUCCCAUAAACCGUGGCUCAGUUCAGAUCGUAGGCUGCAACUCGCCCACGUGAAGGAGGAAUCGCUAGUAAUCGCAGGUCAGCAUACUGCGGUGAAUACGUUCCCGGGCCUUGUACACACCGCCCGUCACACCAUGGAAGUUGGCCAUGCCCGAAGUCGUUACUCCAACCCUUGUGGAGGAGGACGCCGAAGGUGGGGCUGAUGACUGGGGUGAAGU
rnacentral:rRNA from 1 species